rnacentral:misc_RNA from 1 species
UGCCAUUGCCCAGCAUGCUGACUGCGGACACAUUGAGGAUAAGAUUCUAGCUACUCUCAGAAUUGAUACUGAUAAAAACGAAAAAAGACAGAGAAGCAAUAUCACAACUAGAUGCAACUAAUUAAAGCAUCAUACUACAGACGUCAGCGGCAAUUCAUAGAAGUUCUCAAUUCAUUGACUACUGCUCUUGGUUAUAUCACAACUGAUUAGAGAAUAAGCAACAUAAGAGCAAAGCAAGAAGUUGUGAAGCAAGUCCAAAACAUAUCUUCACCAACACUGUGCAAUGUAUGCAACCAGAGAGCACAUCAAUGAAUGAUCCCAAAAAAGAAACAGCUGUAGGACCAAAAUAUUUUGAGAACACCAAAAUCUGCAAUACUUGUUAUAUAAGAUUUCCAAAAAAAAGCAUUUCCAGGAUUUUACAUCAACAGGAGAGAGAGAGAGGG